GCUUGGAGGUUCAAGCGGACUACGACUGUCGCAGUAGCCAGCCGUCACCCUGGUGCAUGCAAACUUAGCCCAAAUAGUCGGGUUCGAAGUUUGCAAAUAUGUGCUGAUGAAUGGAUAAUUUUAAGCUUGCACUGCACUUUAAAAGAACAAUCGUUCAACAGGAUCAGUCAGAGCUGUGAAAUCUUCGAAACUAUUACAGGUGAAGCUGAUGAAAGCACGGAUGAAUUGCCGAAGAAACUGCAACUUUUAUUGGAACGAAGCAAACAAGGAAGCGUCUAUCUAGGUCAAACUUCCAACCAGGCUUGAGCGCGGAGUGCUGCGAGUGUAGGAAAGGGUGUUGCCAAACACCCAGAAUUCUUUUCGAUAUGGUCGAUCAAUAGAUACCAAGAUGGCUCCCCUCGCUUGUGGAUUCCGUUGUUGAAUCUGCAAACACUAAAGAAGUACCUAGUUUCUCUUUGAGCAUUACAGACGGUACCCAACUCAUCGUAUUGGUCUUUUAGUAGAGCGACUGCCAUGUUUCCUUCGGAACACCUUUUAGUUGCAUUGCAGCUUCUUGUUCUGUAGUGCCUCCAAAGGGUAGGCACAUAUUAUCAAAGUUGCGGUAUAAACCCACAAACAUACUUUGUGUUGCAAGAUGUCAACAUCGAUAUAAGAGUGUUAUUCUUGAAAUUAGAGCUGGGCAGUGUGAGUGAUUUGGAUAAUCUAGUUCUAAGCAGUUUAAGGUAGAGAUUGGAAGACGGAUAAUUUUUAAAAAAUGAGGAUUGUAAGUCUAAUUGAAUUUAUUUAGUUAAUCCAACACAAUUAGAGUAAAAAGUAUCAUUAUUGAGUAUAUUUGAGUUUGUAAUAUUUAUUUGAUUGGAUAUGAAAUACA
rnacentral:lncRNA from 1 species